CAUAUUCAGUGUCUGGAUAGAAAUUCUCUUCCUGAUCGGUAUGCCAGGAGAUGACAUUAACGAAAUCGGCUACAAAUGAUGUGUUGCGAAACGACUAAACAUACAGGAGAAGAAACAAAAAUAGUCAUAUAAUAUAAGAUGGGAAUAAUAGUUUGAUGAAUGAUUUUGCAUGAAGGAAUAUUGUAACACGAUGGCCAUGCGUUUUUAGUAGAAACCUAAUCCUACAUAAUGCUGAGAUCUACUAAGUAUAUUUUGUUCUUGUUGUUGGGCAUCGCACCAUAUUCUGUGCCCGGAAAGUAGUUCUCCUCCUGAUCGGUAUGCCAGGAGACAACCUCAACGAAAUCGGCCACAAAUGAGGGUAUCAAGCACUUGAUAACCGCCGAAUUGCCGCGAAUCACAUGCUCCUUGUUCACAUCCGCCUCGUAGUACUGGGCAACAACUGUAAAGUGGUGUAUGAUAUGAAUGAAAGAGUGCUGAGUGUGUAUGCUGAGUGCUGUUGUUGUUUGUGCGAAUCUGAAACUAUUCUCACGCUGAAAAAAAAACACCUGUUCAACCUUGACAACUCUGUUGAAUAGAAUUCCUGGAAAUACACACGCUGCGUAAGCUUCCUGUUUGUCGGAAAACAAUUAGGCGGCCAAUUAAGUGAAAAUUGUCAGCCAGCCAGUCAGCAUUUGAGGUGUAGCCCGUGUUAAAGCCAUAUUUCAUUCAUGUUGGCCACAUUAUCAUCAGUCUCUGCUUUACUUAUAUUUUUGGCACUAAACGAACAUGAUAAAUUCUUGGAGUUAAAUAGGAACCGAGUUCAUAUGCGAAGGAAAGGGAAGCAGAGAUUGGGUUAGGUCUCUCUUGGCAUGGGGCUAAUUGCUAGCGAACACGUCAACUGUCGCGACCCGAUGACUAAGCUACGCUGAACUGUUUGCCAUCCACGACCGCCAGGUGGCGUUCAAGUGACAUGGGGUUGCUUGCAUGAUUGUAGCAUAAUUAGAUAAGAAGUCAUUAAGUCUGGCCUAUUUAACGUUGCUUUAUGCAAGCGGAAGUAAUGGAUAUUUCCACAGCGCACAAGUUCACAAAUUUUCACAUGAAUAAAUAACAUACAUAUAUGCAUGUCUUUGGGGAGCCAACUAAUAACUAGAGAGUAUGAACUUCGCCUGCUAUGAACUCUGGCCUCCCACCGGACAAGGUGACGACGCGUCGGGGCAAACGAUGUGUGGCAAUUGCAUCAUCAUCAACAGCAACAGCAACAGCUUGCACAAUAAUUAAUUACGGUGAAAUUGCAAAGACGACGACUGCAACAAAGGGUGGCACAUGUGCUCCAAACCCUAUAAACUAUGUAUCUUGGCAAGUGCAAGAAGUGCUGCAAAAGUUUCAACACUUUAGACAGCUUGAAAGUGCAAAUAACAAAUCGAUUUAAGGCAAAUGCCAACUGACAUCGAAUUGCAAAGCAAUGGAGCAACAACAAAAUCGCAACUAUAAUGAUUUUCCUUUUUGCAGCAGAGAGCGUUGAAACAUUUCCCUACAUUACACAUUAUAAAGCGACAUAUGCUGGUAAUUAAAAUGACAGCCCUUAACAACGUAGCAACGAAUUUACAACCAACGUGGAGCGCGAGUUCUGCUGAAAGUUUGCUGAAAUCCUGCA